UACAGAGGUCUCAAGCGUUGUUCGGAUUCAUUGGGCGUAAAGGGUGCGUAGGCGGCGCGGUAAGUCGGGUGUGAAAUCUCGGAGCUUAACUCCGAAACUGCAUUCGAUACUGCCGUGCUUGAGGACUGGAGAGGAGACUGGAAUUUACGGUGUAGCGGUGAGAUGCGUAGAUAUCGUAAGGAACACCAAUGGCGAAGGCAGCCUGCUGGGCCAACACUGACGCUCAUGCACGAAAGCGUGGGGAGCAAACAGG
rnacentral:rRNA from 1 species